GGCUGUUCCCAUGGUGGUGGGUUAUCAAAUUUAUUAACAUUAGGGACAUGAAAGCUGGUAAACAACCCCCUAGUGCUAAAUUUCACUGGCUUUAA
rnacentral:Y_RNA from 1 species